rnacentral:rRNA from 1 species
AUUGAACGCUGGCGGCAUGCUUUACACAUGCAAGUCGAACGGUAACAGGGUGCUUGCACCGCUGACGAGUGGCGAACGGGUGAGUAAUGCGUCGGAACGUGCCGAGUAGUGGGGGAUAACGCAGCGAAAGUUGUGCUAAUACCGCAUACGUACUGAGGUAGAAAGUGGGGGACCUUCGGGCCUCACGCUAUUCGAGCGGCCGACGUCUGAUCAGCUAGUAGGUGAGGUAAAGGCUCACCUAGGCGACGAUCAGUAGCGGGUCUGAGGGGAUGAUCCGCCACACUGGGACUGAGACACGGCCCAGACUCCUACGGGAGGCAGCAGUGGGGAAUUUUGGACAAUGGGCGAAAGCCUGAUCCAGCCAUGCCGCGUGUCUGAAGAAGGCCUUCGGGUUGUAAAGGACUUUUGUCAGGGAGGAAAUCCCUAGUGCUUAUAACACUGGGGGAUGACAGUACCUGAAGAAUAAGCACCGGCUAACUACGUGCCAGCAGCCGCGGUAA